UAGGGAAUCUUCCGCAAUGGACGCAAGUCUGACGGAGCAACGCCGCGUGAGUGAAGAAGGAUUUCGGUUCGUAAAACUCUGUUGUUAGAGAAGAACAGCGCAUAGAGUAACUGUUAUGCGUGUGACGGUAUCUAACCAGAAAGCCACGGCUAACUACGUGCCAGCAGCCGCGGUAAUACGUAGGUGGCAAGCGUUGUCCGGAUUUAUUGGGCGUAAAGCGAGCGCAGGCGGUCAAUUAAGUCUGAUGUGAAACCCCCCGGCUCAACCGGGGAGGGGUAGUGGAAACUGGUUGACUUAAGUGCAGAAGAGGAGAGUGGAAUUCCAUGUGUAACGGUGAAAUGCGUAGAUAUAUGGAGGAACAACAGUGGCGAAGGCGACUCUCUGGUAUGUAACUGAAGCUGAGGCUCGAAAGCGUGGGUAGCAAACAGG
rnacentral:rRNA from 1 species